UACGUAGGGUGCAAGCGUUGUCCGGAAUUAUUGGGCGUAAAGAGCUCGUAGGCGGUCUGUCACGUCGGCUGUGAAAACUCGGGGCUCAACCCCGAGCCUGCAGUCGAUACGGGCAGACUAGAGUCCGGCAGGGGAGACUGGAAUUCCUGGUGUAGCGGUGAAAUGCGCAGAUAUCAGGAGGAACACCGGUGGCGAAGGCGGGUCUCUGGGCCGGAACUGACGCUGAGGAGCGAAAGCGUGGGGAGCGAAUAGG
rnacentral:rRNA from 1 species